GCCGUCGCCGGCGGUCUCCGAGGAUCCCUUCGGCCCUAAAGCUACGUUCUUAUACUCCCUUCUAUGUAUUUUGUUGAGAUUUGGACAGUAGUUAUGUUGGUGGCCUUUUUUUUUUAUUAUUGUGACUUGAGUUUGUGAGUUUUGAGCUAAUGUUUAGCUCACUGCAAUGAGCUUGAUCUUUAGGCUAAAGUAUUGAUCUUGAAAUGGUUAUAAAGUGCCACUGUGGUGGGGCUUUUAACAUUUGAAGGCAGUUGCAACAACAUGUGAGUUUCUAUGCUGUGAAAACUACUUAAGCUGUUGAUUUUUGAUGUAAAGGCAGUAGCUUAUUGCUUCUGGUUCUAGUGUUUCUACAUGAUGACAUGAAAGAUUGAUUAAGAAAAAGGAUGGGGGUGUAUUACCUCUUGAAACCCCAGCUGCUUGAAUUUUCAGCUCUUAGAACUCAAGCUCUCCUACUCUCAAUCUUGUUAUGUUGCUGGAAGUUUGAAGUAUGCGGAAGGGAGUUCAUAAGUGUGGUGGAGGGGCUUUUUAUAGGCUGAUUUUGUGUACCUUAGGGGAAAUUAAAUGGGCUGUCAAAGCUCUUUGUUCUCAUGCUGCAGAUGGCACCUUUAAUUCAUUUCAUUUGUCUCUUUCUUGAAGCCUAAGUACUACCUUCAUUAGGUUAUUUGUUUGAUGUGCAGGGGAGCAGGUGGCUGCUCGGGUUGGACUGAAUUGGUGCAGCUGGAGGGCGACGGUUUGGGUUAGUUGAAUGGCAAGGAGUCGGUCAAGGAUAAGUUGCCACUCCAAAAGAGGCAAGCCUCCAAUUUUUGGCAGCAUUGAGAGCUCUCGGUUGAGGUGGGGAGGUGCAGGAGUAUGCUUGCUAUUUUUAGUACAACUUGUGUUCACUUUUGCAAGAGCAAGACUUGGCUGCUGUAUUGCUCCCGGCCCAGCCCGCUAUCCUCGGCCUGACGGGCUUCUCGGGAACGGGCCGCGGUUCGGGCCUAAAGGAAGAAAACCGAAGGGCUUGUUUGAAAGCUCACAUCCCGAUCUUUUACUCCAUGUAACUCAUUGGAAAGCUAGUUUGAUAGUUUGUGUAUGUAGAAGGAUAUUCGAACUUCUUUAGUCCGAAGUGUAUCUUUAGUCUGUUCUAA